rnacentral:rRNA from 1 species
UACGUAGGGGGCAAGCGUUGUCCGGAAUCAUUGGGUGUAAAGCGCGCGUAGGCGGUCCGAUAAGUCUGCUGUGAAAGUCGGGGGGCUCAACCCUCGGAUGCCGGUGGAUACUGUCGGGCUUGAGUGCGGAAGAGGCGAGUGGAAUCCUGGUGUAGCGGUGAAAUGCGCAGAUAUCAGGAGGAACACCAAUUGCGAAGGCAGCUCGCUGGGACGUUACUGACGCUGAUGCGCCGAAAGC